UCCACAAAUAUUGGCACCCUUGGUAAAUAUGAGCAAAGAAGGCUGUGAAUAAUUGUCUUUAUUGUCUAACCUUUUGAUCUUUUGUUAAAAAAAAUCACAAAAAAACUCUCCUCUCAUGGAUAUCACUAUACAAGGGUGCCAAUAUACAUAACAUUAAGGCCUCUUUCUUCUUUACAAAAUAAAACAACCCUGGAAAUUUGGAGCGUGUGAUAAACCCCUGCUAGGGGGAUUUCAUGGCUUUGGUUUCAGCAGUAGAGAAGGUAGAUACGGUUUUUCGUGGAGUCCUGCCAGCCUGGAAUUCAAUGACACAGUAUCCAAGAGUAUGUGGAGAGAAAUAUGGCUUUUCUAUUACUGAACACCACCUGUGAACCUCGUAGCGCUUGGAAACGUUUGUCAGGAGGUAUGAAUGAGGACCAAGUAACAAAUCUCUCUUUUUUAAAUAGACUCUCAUGGUUUUAAAGCUAUGAGAGUCCCAGCAUAACCUUAUGUGACAUUGGUGGUGAUUUUGACUGCCAUACGAUCUGGCAUGGAAUUUCCAGCUCCAAUGUUUAUGGAGGGACAGAAAGACAAAUCACUACAGAGCACUGUUACCAGUAACUGAGACUGAGAUGUAGACAUCAUAGCUUACCUCAGGUAAAGGCAUAACAGUUCAUAGUAUUGAUAGAAUGAGAUGUAACACAACAGCUCAAAGGCAUGCAGAUUGGUAAACAAAUCCCUGCUGUGAUAUUUCCUACAUAAUUUCUCUGUGUGCAUGUACAUUUCUGCCACUGCCUUCUGGAUCUUAAAAUAACUACUCAAAAAAACUUUCAUUCAAGGUGCAACAGGGUCUACAAAAUAGCCACAGGAUACUGACUGCAAAGCUUUUUGUUUUUGUUGAUCUCUGACUCUUAUGAAGAAUUUGCACUCAUUGCUCAUUGCAUUCAUCUCGGUUCACUUUCAUUUUAAAAAGCCACAUCAUACACCACCAUUUACAUAAUUUACAUCGAUACACUAUAAUUUACAUAGUUGCAUAAGUCAUUAAAUAAAGUCCAGUAAUAACAAGAAAAACCCUCAGGCUAAUUAGCUUGAGGAAUUGUGGACAACAGCAAAAUCAUGAAACUUCCCUAGAAGUUAAUUUAGAAGUUAUUGCCUGUGAUUUUGCUGACAGGGGAAGACACAAUGUUUUGAGGGGCUCUUUAUAUUCUGUCCAGAGCAUCAGGCAAAAAUUUGUAUGAAUCGCCACACAUUUGAGCCCACUCUUUCUGUUCAACUUUUAUAUUUCUGUAUUCAGCCGAUCACAGCAGAUUUCUAUAAUUUCACAUUUCGCAAAAUUCCCAGUUGUAUAUGUUGAAUUAAAAGCAUCAGAGGUUACAAUAAUAUUACGGUAUUUCCAGAGGAUUUGCUCUGGUGUGUUAAGAUCAAACUUUGAUGACAAAUGAGGGCCUGAAGAUUUCAUCAUCCCAUGUUUACUUUUUUUUUUUUGAGAAAUGUUAAUGGAUGACCUUAAGCCUGACUUCUGAUCUUGGCUGACAUAUCAUGUCAGAAUAACAAAUGUUUUAUAAUAGACUGGGAAAAAUUUUAGCUUUGUUUCCCAUCAUAUUUGCAUCUGUUUACAGAAUAAAUUCACACAGAGAUAUAUAAACUUUUUGGGAAUCUUCAUGUGAGACAGAAUGUUUUAAAUUGUGUAAGAAAGAAAGAAAGAAAGAAAUUAAUUUCAUUUACCUGCUAGGAUAUGCUGGUGAUACUUGCAAAAAUCACUUGGUAAAAGCAUUUAUCUUGGACCCUUUCCCUUCCUCCUCAUCCUCCUCUCUUAAACUGUUUGUAUUGGUUAAUUGGGACUAACCAAACCCAGACAUGACUCUCUAUAUUGGUCUUGGAGCUAAGCCUGCAGAAGUCCUCUCACGCUCUUCCAUCGUCCACAUCCCAUGCUGGAUCUCUGUGGUGAGCUUGGAAAGCAAGAUGGAUAUCUGAUCAACACAGCCUGCAGACAACUUCCCAUUAAAAUUAUAAUUCUGCCUUUAACAAACAAAAUUUUAGAGACUCUACUUUCUUUUUGUUUGAGAUGCUGUGAAAUGCUUGGAACUCUCCCUGUGCGUGGGGUUUACAAGGAAGAAAAGAAUUUAGGGAGGCAAAGGAACAUUCCUGUGGAGAAAGGCUGGAGAUGUGCUUGGAAAACAAAUCCCCGAAGCGCAUCUACUGAAGCCAAACAUCCAGUGCUUCCUGUGGUGAUGCCCAGCUCUCUAUGACUGACAGCUCUCUCCAGGAUUUUAUGCUUUGGUGAGAAUAAAGAAAAGAUGCCCUGCUCUGCUAUGCACCAGUAAACUCUUCAGUGCACUUACCAGCCUGGCGGGAGUCUGCAUCACACCUGGAUAUUAUGUACAUCACACAUCGCAAGUGUUUAUCAGUAUCAGUUUGACCUGCACAAAUCAAAAUUCAGGUUAUAUUUGUCUGCCCUUACUUCAAGCGGAUUAUUAAUGUUGGGUAAAAGUUGAAAGAGAAAUAGAUUGUCAAAGUCUGAACUUUCAAUUUAGGUAAAACCCAUAAGAAUUAGUUUUAAUGAGAAAGAAAAGAAGAAGAAUGAACGUUUGGUUUGUGCAGCUGUUUUCCCUGGCUCAGGUUGGGCUCUCCAAGCAAAGGCAAGAGAAAACAUAUGCAGAACUUUUCAUUUUAUUCAUGUGAGCAUCAAUACUGUCUUCUUAAUGUCUUCAAUGAGAACCGCUGCUUUCCCCAUCCUACUUUACUGCCAUGUGUGUAAAGAAUGUCCACAAAGCCAUUUAAACCUUUAAAAAAAAAAAAAGGAUUUCAAAGGAUCAUCCUCUCUCUUUAAGCAGCUCUUCUCCCCUGCUCAUUAACAAAGUUACAUCUGCAGUUACAUUUAGUUCCUGCCAAAAUCAUGGCAUUAUGCAAUUAAACCUGGGCUCAUGGUGGAGGAAUAGCAUUCUUUUUCAUCCUUUCAUGCAAAGUUGAUGAAGAUGACAAAGUGAGUGAGAGCAGAUAAUGUCCUACCAACAAUGGUAUCUCAUGUAGGAUUCAAAGCAAAUUUUUUUUUUUUCAGGUCAUAAUUUUACAUAAUUGACCAUUCCAAAUGUUCAGAGCUAGAAUGGGGCUUUCAUUGAUAACCCACUGCAGAACAUGUACUUACAUUCACAUGCAAUUUGUUACUCUGUUUUUUUGUUUGUUUGUUUGUUUUUUCCUUUUUCUUUGUGUGUAUUAGUAUUCACUUUGAGUUGGUUCUAUAGUUUUUCAAGCCUGCUUGGGCUUUGACAAGCUGCUAUUUACUAUUAUUUACUUAUUUCUUCCUCUUCUUCUUCUUCUUCUUCUUCUUCUUAUUAUUAUUAUUAUUAUUAAUAUUAUCAUUGUUAUUAUCAGUAGUAGUAGUAAUUUGCUGCAUAAUAUUAUGUAUAAUAUGUAGAUCAUAGGACCUGCCAUUCCAUAUUCCAUAAAACUUCCUAACAAGUUGCAAAGAAAAUAAUGUCAUUGCUGAAAUGUAUAUGUGAAAUAAAGUUUUCCUCCUCUUCUUCUUCUACAUAAUUCUGUGAAAAUAAACCAUAAAACAUUCUUCUAUCAAAAAAACAAAAACAUAAUUACAUACAUGGUCAAACAAAUAGUCCCAUGAGAAGUUCAUGGCUUUCUGUCAUGCUGCCAUCACACUGCGUCAUUGCUAGCACAAUUACAAUGGUAUUUAAUAGGAGGAAAAAAUUACAGUGAGCUCAAACAUAAGUGAUGACACUCAGGUUUCACUGUUAGCUCCUAAAAACAAAAGAACAAGUGCUUCUUUUCUCACAAAGUCCCACUGGCACUACUAUCAGCAAGUAGUCGAAUGGAAUUGGGGGUAAUGUUAACUGCUAGUUAAAUAAACAGAUCAAA